CCAAUUUGGAAUCUUCAAUCCUAAUUAAACGGGAAGCCUUCGAGCCUACCGACCUUCUUCCUCUGCUUCAUCUCUUCCUGCUGGCCAUCAAGGUACUUUAUGCGAAGCUAAAAUAGAUGAAGAACACUAACAAGCAAGUGCUUGCCAUCAAUGUGGUGGCUUGUAUUGUAAGUUCUAACGAGGAUGACAUAGAGAAUGAUAUGAUGACGGAGAACAAUUAUGUUGAAGAUGGAAGUAGAGAACAAAGUCGGAGAUGAAGAUAGAGAAUGAAGACAUUAUAAGGAAGAAGAAGAAGAAAACAAGCCUGUUAUAUGUGUGAGGAGAAUAGUCAUUUUAUUAAAAUUUUGGUAGGAUUUUCGUUAUGUGGGUUUUUUAUUUCAUUUUUUUUACAUAUUGGAUAAACUUAAUUAAUGUAUAUGUUACAAGCAUUUGGAUAAACUUAGUUAUCAUUUCUCGAGAGUAAUAUAGAAUAUACAUGUUACUUUUACCAUGAUUUAGAACUAAUACAUAUUGUGGCAAUUUUUACUUUA